GACGAACGCUGGCGGCGUGCUUAACACAUGCAAGUCGAGCGAAGCGGCGGACGGGUGAGUAACACGUGAGUAACCUGCCUUAGACAUUGGGAUAGCCUCGGGAAACCGGGAUUAAUACCAAAUGGUCUAAGAUGGAUUCGCGUCGCAUUAGCUAGUUGGUGAGGUAACGGCACACCAAGGCGACGAUGGGUAGCCGGCCUGCGAGGGUGAACGGACACAGUGGAACUGGGAAACGUUCCAAACUAUACGGGAGGCAGCAGUGGGGAAGAUAGCACAAUGGAGUGAACUAUGAUGCAGCGACGCCGCGGGAACGAAGAAGUCUUUCGAGUCGUAAAGUUCUUUUAUAUGGGAAGCGGUACCAUAAGAAAAAGCCCCGGCUAACUACGUGCCAGCAGCCGCGGUAAUUC
rnacentral:rRNA from 1 species